ensembl:snRNA U6 U6 spliceosomal RNA
AUGCUCACUUUGGCAGCACAUAUGCUAAAAUUAGAACGAUACAGAGAAUAUUAGCAUGGCCCCUGUGCAAGGAUGACAUGGAAAUUCAUAAAUCAUUUCAUAUUUUU